UACGUAGGGUGCAAGCGUUGUCCGGAAUUAUUGGGCGUAAAGAGCUCGUAGGCGGUUUGUCGCGUCUGCUGUGAAAACCCGAGGCUCGACCUCGGGCCUGCAGUGGGUACGGGCAGACUAGAGUGCGGUAGGGGAGAUUGGAAUUCCUGGUGUAGCGGUGGAAUGCGCAGAUAUCAGGAGGAACACCAAUGGCGAAGGCAGAUCUCUGGGCCGUAGCUGACGCUGAGGAGCGAAAGCAUGGGGAGCGAACAGG
rnacentral:rRNA from 1 species